rnacentral:rRNA from 1 species
CUACGGGCGGCAGCAGUGAGGAAUUUUGCGCAAUGGGCGAAAGCCUGACGCAGCAACGCCGCGUGAGUGAUGAAGGCCUUCGGGUCGUAAAGCUCUGUCAAGUGGGAAGAACCUAUGUAAUGUUAAUAUCAUUAUAUACUGACGGUACCACUGAAGGAAGCACCGGCUAACUCCGUGCCAGCAGCCGCGGUAAUACGGGGGGUGCAAGCGUUAUUCGGAAUCAUUGGGCGUAAAGGGCACGUAGGCGGCCUGGUAAGUCAGAUGUGAAAGCCCGGGGCUUAACCCCGGAAGUGCAUUUGAUACUGUCAGGCUUGAGUAUGGGAGAGGGAAGUGGAAUUCCUGGUGUAGAGGUGAAAUUCGUAGAUAUCAGGAGGAACACCGGUGGCGAAGGCGACUUCCUGGACCAAUACUGACGCUGAGGUGCGAAGGCGUGGGUAGCAAACAGGAUUAGAUACCCUGGUAGUC